rnacentral:rRNA from 1 species
ACGAACGCUGGCGGCAGGCCUAACACAUGCAAGUCGAACGCUCCAGCAAUGGAGAGUGGCAGACGGGUGAGUAACACGUGGGAACCUUCCCUAUGGUUCGGAAUAGCUCAGGGAAACUUGGGGUAAUACCGGAUAAGCCCUUCGGGGGAAAGAUUUAUCGCCAUUGGAUGGGCCCGCGUCGGAUUAGCUAGUUGGUGAGGUAACGGCUCACCAAGGCAACGAUCCGUAGCUGGUCUGAGAGGAUGAUCAGCCACACUGGGACUGAGACACGGCCCAGACUCCUACGGGAGGCAGCAGUGGGGAAUAUUGCGCAAUGGGCGAAAGCCUGACGCAGCGACGCCGCGUGUGGGAUGACGGCCUUCGGGUUGUAACCACUGUCGCGAGGGACGAAGAUCUGACGGUACCUCGAAAGGAAGACACCGGCUAACUCUGUGCCAGCCGCCGCGGUAA